rnacentral:rRNA from 1 species
CGGAGGGUGCAAGCGUUAUCCGGAUUCACUGGGUUUAAAGGGUGCGUAGGCGGGCAUUUAAGUCAGUGGUGAAAUACCUGAGCUUAACUUGGGAACUGCCAUUGAUACUAUUUGUCUUGAAUGUCGUGGAGGUUAGCGGAAUAUGUCAUGUAGCGGUGAAAUGCUUAGAUAUGACAUAGAACACCUAUUGCGAAGGCAGCUAACUACGCGAAUAUUGACGCUGAGGCACGAAAGCGUGGGGAUCAAACAGGAUUAGAUACCCUGGUAGUCCACGCCCUAAACGAUGAUUACUCGACAUUGGCGAUACACAGUCAGUGUCUGAGCGAAAGCAUUAAGUAAUCCACCUGGGAAGUACGACCGCAAGGUUG